UAAUAUGGCACCACAGCCUGAUCUCGUCACAUCUCAGAAGCUGAGCAGGGCCGGGCCUGGUUAGUACUUGGAUGGGAGAACGCUGGGAAUUCCUGAUGCCAUAGUGG
rnacentral:rRNA from 1 species